GUGACUGUUUUCUUAAGUGGCUCUUUAUUUGCUGGUAUCCAUUGUGACAUUCAGCUGGUAGAGUCUGGGGGUGAUAUGAGACAGCCUGGAGGAUCUCUUAGCCUUUCCUGCAAAGCUUCUGAAUUCACCUUAGCAGCUAUCAUGAACUGGGUCCGCCAGUCUGCAGGAAAGGGGCCGGAGCGGGUGGCAGUUAUUUGGAAUGAUGGAAGAACCACAUACUAUGCAGACUCUGUGAAAGGCCGAUUCACCAUCUCCAGGGACAACAGCAACAACAUGCUGCACCUGCAAAUGAAUUUCCUUAAAGCUGAGGACACAGCCAUGUAUUACUGUGCAAGAGACACAGUGAGAAAAAGAAGUAUGAGACCAGACAUAAACCUCCUCAUUCAGACAGGCCAUGUGGAAAGUGAGUUAGAGAGGGAGCUCAACAACACCCAGCACAAGGAGACCAGUUACAAUAACAGAUGA